rnacentral:rRNA from 1 species
GAUGAACGCUGGCGGCGUGCCUAAUACAUGCAAGUCGAGCGAACGGACGAGAAGCUUGCUUCUCUGCUGUUAGCGGCGGACGGGUGAGUAACACGUGGAUAACCUACCUAUAAGACUGGGAUAACUUCGGGAAACCGGAGCUAAUACCGGAUGAUAUUUUGAACCGCAUGGUUCAAAAGUGAAAGACGGUCUUGCUGUCACUUAUAGAUGGAUCCGCGCUGCAUUAGCUAGUUGGUAAGGUAACGGCUUACCAAGGCAACGAUGCAUAGCCGACCUGAGAGGGUGAUCGGCCACACUGGAACUGAGACACGGUCCAGACUCCUACGGGAGGCAGCAGUAGGGAAUCUUCCGCAAUGGGCGAAAGCCUGACGGAGCAACGCCGCGUGAGUGAUGAAGGUCUUCGGAUCGUAAAACUCUGUUAUUAGGGAAGAACAUAUGUGUAAGUAACUGUGCACAUCUUGACGGUACCUAAUCAGAAAGCCACGGCUAACUACGUG